rnacentral:lncRNA from 1 species
GGAGCCGUCUUUUCUGCACAGAGUGUGCACUAUCAUCGUAACAGCAGAGACGGAGAGCAAGAUGUGAGGAGGUUAAAAGUCAGGGUCAGAAGUUCAGGUUGCUCUGACCCUCAAAUCAAUUUCAAGCACUGUUUGUGACAUUUUCCUGUGUUCCCUCGCUUGAUGUUAGUCUUUGCAAUGAACCACCGAAUCAGACUUCAGGGCUCAUGGGACUUUGGGGUUUCAGUAGGGUCAGGUCAAUUUCUACCUACCAGUGUACUGUCACCUAUGAGGCAAACCAUUAUCUAGGCGUUUGAGAACCUCAAAGUUUUGAAGCUCUGAGGGGAAAGAGAGAGGAUGAAGCGCUGGGGCCCCUGUGUCUUUGGGGCCUGACAUAGCUCAACCUGUGGCUUCAGGGGGACCGUGUGCAGCCAGGUCACAGUGGUACCGGAAAGGGAUCCUGAUCCAGACCCCAAGAGAGGGUUCUUGGAUCUCGUGCAAGAAAAAAUUCAGGAAUGCCUGACCUCCUCGGAAUGCACCUGAGUAGGACUCAGCCUCAUUUUGCCUAGCCCCUGCUCAAGAUAGAGUCACUCUGGUUGGAAGGCCUUUGGCAAUAGGAUUGGCAACUCAGAGAAAGCUGGUCCCUGGCAUGGGCAUCUCUCCCAAGGCAUUCUUCCAAAGCUGAUGGCACUAAGGCUGAACCCAGAAGCUGCAGCAGUGGACGGAUGAUGAUCUGAAGAAAUGAGAUCCCUGAUGGGCUUGGAAGUCAUGGUUCCUGUAACCAUGAUGUCACACCCUCGUCCUGACACCGAGAUGGGCUGGACACAUCUGUCACCCAGGGCAAACAAAAUGCUUGGUCUGCAUCUUUCAGAAGAAAACUAAAAAUCAAGUAAUUUCUUAGAAGUUUGCUUGCGUGUGGCUUAAGUCUUCUUCUCCUGUUGAGGAAGGUGUUGAGUUUGACCAUGACAGCCCCACCCAGUCCUUGGCUCAUCUCACCCAUCAAAGAGGAUCUGGAGAUUCAGAGCUAUGCCGUGGAAGACCUUGUCAGAGCACCAGGCCAUACUGUGCUGCAGGUGGGGUUCAGGUGCCCAGUGACAACCACCGGGGCCGCUCAUCCCUAAACGUCUGUUGAACUUAAAGUUCUACUCAAGACUUUCUACAUUAAAUACCCUUUCAUACAGCAAAAUCAGCCAUGUUCUGAGAUGUGAAACUGCAGCACAAAGUUACUGUGGUCUCCACCUAUAGAAAUGGAAUGUUACUUCAUAAAGCCCCAGGCCAAAAAAGAAACCCCAAAACUCUGAAACGACACCCUUAAAUUUAACCUGAACAUCUGGCCAGCCUCCUCCAUCAUUGAAACUUCUCCUGAGUGUUGGCAUGGAUCCUAUGUUUCUCCAGCCAGGGAGCUUUGCUCCCCAUUCUUGAUGGACCCACUGAGUCCCAAUUUUCUACAUUUUACUUGGGUCAUUCCACCACUUUGGGAUGCUUUUCCUACUCUGUUGUACUUUAAAAAUGUUUCUUCUUUCCUAUUCUCAGCUUCACGCAUUUGUCUUCUUUCUCAAUUCAACUUGCUUAGUUCUCGCUACAUCAAUUCCUAGAGCCAUCCAUCUGCACUUCUGAAUCAUUUAAGUUUUGUUUGGCUACAAGUAAUGGAAACCCACUCUGAGUAACUCAAGCAAGAACUGGAAUUUAUUGGAAGGACAGUGGGAUAUAUCAUAAGAUCCAAAAAGAAUUGAACAAAUAAAAUUUCAGAGGGAAGAAAAAGGGCAGCUCCAGUGACUUCAGCAACAAGACAACAUAAGUCUUUCUAGAGCAUAGCUACUAAUAUUAUUCAGCUGCAAGAGCCCCUCCCCAUGAGAAACUUGAUUGAAAAUUCUGAUUUCCCACAGAGAAGAAUCUGAUCGACUCAGUUUAGCUUUGGUUGCCCAACUGCUCAAUCUUGCAUGAAUUAUUUCCAGCCAAGGGGACAAGGUGUAUUAUAGGGACACACCUGCUUUCUCCAAAGAAAAGAUCUGGGCAUUUCCUGAUCAUUUCCCUGAGAAGGAGGAAUCAUUGUGAGCCAAGAAGAUACCUCAAGUAUAAUGAGCUCAGUUACACUUUUUUGAUAUCUGAGUAUUUGGUAUGUAGUGUGCAUUUUAAAAAACAUGUCUCUCUCCAGGACAAUGUUAACCUCUUCCACGGUGGAGUGGGGCUAUGUGAUUUUGUGCUUAAUUUACCUAGCUGGUGGGCCUCCAGUAGAGGCUGUAGUCGAGCCAGCUGAUACCACAUCAGUUCUCCAAAGGUAAGUUUCUCUUGGCUAAUAUUCCUUCUCUCAACUUAAUAAACACCCACUAUACACCAAGAUACAUUGAAAA